rnacentral:rRNA from 1 species
UACGUAGGUGGCAAGCGUUAUCCGGAAUUAUUGGGCGUAAAGCGCGCGCAGGCGGUUUCUUAAGUCUGAUGUGAAAGCCCACGGCUCAACCGUGGAGGGUCAUUGGAAACUGGGGAACUUGAGUGCAGAAGAGAAAAGCGGAAUUCCACGUGUAGCGGUGAAAUGCGUAGAGAUGUGGAGGAACACCAGUGGCGAAGGCGACUUUCUGGCUUAUAACUGACGCUGAGGCGCGAAAGCGUGGGGAGCAAACAGG